AAGCAGUGCUAUCCACGAAGAGUGGAAGGGCAUUCUUGAGUAUAAAGUAUAAAGAAAUAAUAAGGAUGAGUCACAUGAUGAAAGCAUGGAAAGAGUAGUAAAAUCUACAUUGGGCAGAUGUGAACAUUUGCGAUUAGCACUCAAAGGCUAAUUGAGAAAGAUAAAGAGAG